GGGAAGCAUCCCUUUCUGGAGAUCACUCCCUUUGGAGUUUUUCUGCGAGUCUAGGACAUGUCCCGUGGGACCACAGCGGAAGAUGCAGACCAGGGCUUGUCUCAGAGGGUAUGGACUACAAGAAGAUCCCCCAGAAGACACAGAAUGGGAAGCAGCACCCACCACCACCCUUGGGAGCUCCGGUCACCCCGAGCUGGGAGGACAAGGCUAUUGGCAACUUCCAUCUUAUGUGAAAAUAAAGGGCCCAGAGCUUUGAGCCCUCAUGCUUUGCUCCAGAAGUCCACGGAUACCAUGUCACAGAGGACAAGGGCAUCUGGGUAAGCUGGAAGCGGCACGACCUCUCCCUCUCUUUGUCGCAAUUCGGGAAGGAAACGUUUCUGCACAAACGUGAAGAAAUACAGCAGACUUGCCUUAUUUCGGACCACAGGAGGGCGACGUUCAGCUGCAGCUGAAACAAACAGGACUUCCCAAAACAGGUGUGCCGUUUACUGAUGUAAAAAUAAAUGAGAUGAAGCAAAUUAGCUAAUUUUAGAGUGGUUACAGACCGUGGCUAUUGUUUGAUGCAUCGGUCUGCAUCCACUCUGACUUUGCAUUUUGUUGAUUUGCGGUUAAUCGGUAAUUGCCCUAAAUCACUUUGUCAUCCUUGAGCAAAGGUAAUAAAUUAUGGAGGAUAAGGCAUAGUUGUAUGCUAGAUUGUGGCUCUGUUACUUGUUUAGUUACUUUGUCAUUUUGUCAUCCUUAACCGUGUUGCACAGUUAAGUGUUAUAUUGAUGGGGAAGAGGACUGGGGAAGGAUUAUGAUUUUGAAUAGAGAAAUUACCUAUGAGUGCGUGUGUGUUAAGAAAAGUGUUACAAGGAUUGCAGGCAGAGAACACAAACGGUAUGGUAUGAAAACUGCACAAUACUAAUUUUUGGAGAGCAACGUACCAACAGGAGUGUAUUAAUGCAGGUGACUUCCAGUAGUCUUGGUAAUGUAGCAAAUGUAGUCGCAUGAAGGUUUUUGUUCAGCAAGAGCUUGUAGUCUCUGUACAUACUGAUCACAGCCUGGAACCAGGUUAUCAGGAAGGCUGAAUGCUCCAUGAAGGCUCCAUGGAGGAGGAGUUGAGAAUCAAAGUAGGAGAUAAGCCAGGUUUGAAGUGGCUGAGAAGCAAGAUGAGAAGAAUUUGGCAUCAAAAGCUGUCUGAUACUUCAGAUAUGCAAAAAAAAAAAAAAAAAAACAUUUAUUUCCGGGUACAGGUAGUGGAAUCGCCUAGAAAUAGUAAGCAGGAGCAGAGCUGGAACAUAGCACAACAGUCUGUGAAUAUAGGAUAUAGAGCAUCCUACAUACCUCAGGGCAAACGAAGCUGAUGAGAGCACCACACAUAAUGCUGAAGCAUAUCGGAUAUGGAGGGUUGUAGGAUGAUGACAAACACUUUGCUGGAACAGGUUGCCCAAGGAGAUAGCGGAUGCCCCAGUCCUGGAGGUGUUCAAGGCCAGGAUGGAAGGGGGAGCCUGGUCAUCGGUCACCUUGCACGCAGCUUGAACUUAGAUGAUGAUACCCAGGCCAUUCUACGAUUCUAUCACGGAUUCUAUAUAAAGUAGGUAAGAAAAACAGCAUAGAAGAUGCUGUCUGUUAGCAAUUUGCACAGAAGGAUGCUGAUAGCAUAGCAAUGUUGUUAGUAAAAAAAAAAUAAAAAUCGAGAGGGAUAAAUCAGACAAAGGCUUUUACUAAAAGCUGUGUAUCAUACGGGAUAGAUAAAUGAAGAGUGCAGGUAUUGUGCCUGGGCUGCACAGAUCCUAGUAAAUAACAUCGAUAAGAGAUCUUAGGUCAGUUGUUGUGCAGUAUCACGGAGGGAAAAUAACAAUGACUAAGACUGAAAUAGGAGAAAAGACCUGUAAUGCAAUUAAAUUUUCUUAUGAGCAAAUGCCAGUAGUUGGACACACCUUUACUCAAAAAUUAAAAAGGGGAAAAUGUACAUCAAUGAACAGAUGAAUAAAAUUUAUUUCUCUAACAGUGAAUAUGCUUGAAGUAAUAAAAAAAUAUUCAGUAAGAUGAAGAAGAAGAAGAAGAAGAAGAAGAAGAAGAAGAUGAAGAUGAAGAUGAAGAAGAAGAAGAAGAAGAAGAAGAAGAAGAAGAUGAAGAAGAAGAAGAAGAAGAAGAAGAAGAUGAAGAAGAAGAAGAAGAUGAAGAUGAAGAUGAAGAUGAAGAAGAAGAAGAAGAAGAAGAAGAAGAAGAAGAAGAAGAUGAAGAUGAAGAAGAAGAUGAAGAAGAAGAAGAAGAAGAAGAAGAUGAAGAUGAAGAAGAAGAAGAAGAUGAAGAUGAAGAAGAAGAUGAAGAAGAAGAUGAAGAAGAAGAAGAUGAAGAUGAAGAUGAAGAUGAAGAAGAAGAAGAAGAAGAAGAUGAAGAAGAAGAAGAAGAAGAAGAAGAAGAUGAAGAAGAUGAAGAUGAAGAAGAAGAUGAAGAUGAAGAUGAAGAAGAAGAAGAAGAUGAAGAAGAAGAAGAAGAUGAAGAUGAAGAUGAAGAUGAAGAUGAAGAUGAAGAUGAAGAUGAAGAAGAAGAAGAAGAUGAAGAUGAAGAUGAAGAUGAAGAUGAAGAUGAAGAUGAAGAUGAAGAUGAAGAUGAAGAAGAAGAUGAAGAUGAAGAUGAAGAUGAAGAAGAAGAAGAAGAUGAAGAUGAAGAUGAAGAUGAAGAAGAAGAAGAAGAAGAAGAAGAAGAAGAAGAAGAAGAUGAAGAUGAAGAUGAAGAUGAAGAUGAAGAUGAAGAUGAAGAAGAAGAUGAAGAAGAAGAUGAAGAUGAAGAUGAAGAUGAAGAUGAAGAUGAAGAAGAAGAUGAAGAAGAAGAUGAAGAUGAAGAUGAAGAUGAAGAAGAAGAUGAAGAUGAAGAUGAAGAAGAAGAUGAAGAAGAAGAUGAAGAAGAAGAUGAAGAAGAAGAUGAAGAAGAAGAAGAAGAAGAAGAAGAU
ensembl:lncRNA